rnacentral:sRNA from 1 species
UGAACUUUCUCACUAAGGUCACCAGGC